rnacentral:rRNA from 1 species
GUGGUCAAGCUCCAAAGGGCACAUGGGGGAUGUCUUGGCAUCAGGAGGCUUUGAAGGGCGCGGAAGACUGCGAUAAGCCUGGGGAAACCGUCAAACAGGUGAUGAUCCCGGGAUACCCGAACUGACAUGAACUGAAUUCAUAGGUUCAUGUAGCGAACGCGGAGAACUGAAACAUCUCAGUAUCCGUAGGAAAAGAAAGAAAAAUCGAUUUCCUUAGUAGUGGCGAGCGAAAGGGAAAUAGCCCAAACCGUAGUGGUUUCCACCGCGGGGUUGUAGGGCCCUCCACAAGAGUUAUCAAAUGAUUGGCUAGCAGAAUGAUCUGGAAAGGUCGUCCAUAGAGGGUGACAGGCCCGUAUGCGAAAGCUGAUUGUCUCUGGAGGGUACCCUGAGUAGGUCGAGCCACGUGGAAUCUCGACUGAAUCAACGGGGACCAUCCCGUAAGGCUAAAUACUACCUGAUGACCGAUAGUGAACUCAGUAGAGUGAUCGAAAGAUGAGAAGAACCCCUGCUAGGGGAGGAAUGUGAACCUGAAACCAUGUGCCUACAAGCGGUCGGAGCGCUAUGGCUGGCAACAGCAAUGCGUGACGGCGUGCCUUUUGCAUAAUGAUCCGGCGAGUUACCGUCAGCGGCUCGGUUAAGGUCCUCAGGACCGUAGCCACAGGGAAACCGAGUCUGAAUAGGGCGACACAUGUCGCUGGUGG